rnacentral:rRNA from 1 species
UACAGAGGGGGCAAGCGUUGUUCGGAAUUACUGGGCGUAAAGGGCGCGUAGGCGGCCCGCUAAGUCGAACGUGAAAUCCCCGAGCUCAACUCGGGAACUGCGUCCGAUACUGGCGGGCUUGAAUCCGGGAGAGGGAUGCGGAAUUCCAGGUGUAGCGGUGAAAUGCGUAGAUAUCUGGAGGAACGCCGGUGGCGAAAGCGAAGGACUGGACCUCUUCUGACGCUGAGGCGCGAAAGCUAGGGGAGCAAACGGG